UCCCCAAUAGCUCAGUCGGUAGAGCACCUGACUGUUAAUCAGGGUGUCACUGGUUCGAGUCCAGUUUGGGGAGCCA
rnacentral:tRNA from 1 species